rnacentral:rRNA from 1 species
CCUACGGGGUGCAGCAGUGAGGAAUAUUGGUCAAUGGGCGCGAGCCUGAACCAGCCAAGUAGCGUGAAGGAUGACUGCCCUACGGGUUGUAAACUUCUUUUAUAAAGGAAUAAAGUGAGGCACGUGUGCCUUUUUGUAUGUACUUUAUGAAUAAGGAUCGGCUAAUUCCGUGCCAGCAGCCGCGUUAAUACGGAGGAUCCGCGCGUUAUCCGGAUUUAUUUGGUUUAAAGGGAGCGUAGGUUGGUUGUUAGGGCAGUCGUGAAAGUUUGCGGCUCAACCGUAAAAUUGCCAUGGAUACUGGCAGUCUUGAGUACAGGUGAGGUAGGCGGAAUUCGUGGUGUAGCGGUGAAAUGCUUAGAUAUCACGAAGAACUCCGAUUGCGAAGGCAGCUUACUAAACUGCCACUGACAUUGAUGCUCGAAGGUGUGGGUAUCAAACAGGAUUAGAUACCCUAGUAGUC